GGCCCUGAUGAUAAUGGUGUCUCUUCUUUCCUCGUCCGAUUCGACCAUGACGACAAGGGAUUUUAUCUCGUUCUCUUAAUGCGAAUGAUUUUGAAAAGAUGUUGCUUCUGUGACUAUUUUUUUUUWAAUCAUUCGUGUUUGCAAACGGGAACUUUUCUUGCCAGUGUUAUACAACACAUGCAGAUCUGAGCC
rfam:Saccharomyces cerevisiae AWRI796 chromosome X, whole genome shotgun sequence.